rnacentral:snRNA from 1 species
AUCUUUGCGCUUGGGGCAAUGUCGCAGACUGUGAGGUCUAACCGAGUCGCGACUAUUGCUGGUUGAAAACUUAUUCCUUCCCCGUCGGUCGUGUUCCGUAAGGAGCCUUCCGCAAUAUUUGGCGGUCGCAGGACC